CAAACGAUAGAGAAAGGCAGAGAAGUCUCUGUGCUCCUCAAGCAGCACCUCAGGAACCUUCUCACCCACGAUGACCCUACCAACUUCCAGGGUCAGGGCUUUCAAGAACGACUGGCUGAGGGCCGCAGGCUGGUGGAGCGCCUUGCCCGAAAGCUCAGCCCAGAAAAUCAUGCAGAGGAGGAGAACAAAGAAGAAAAAGCAUCAAUGGACCCCAGCCUGAGCACAGAGCUACAGGAAAAAGAGAGUGUCAAUGAAGCCCUGAAGGGGUCACUGGAUGAAGGCCCUGUGACUUCUUCCAGUAACCAGUACCCAUCUGAUUCCCAUGAGCCUCCCAGCACCAAUGUUUUCUUGUCUGAGGAGCACGAAGACUUCUCUGCUCUGGUUGCAGCUACUGAGAACUCACAUCAACAGGAGAAGAAAGCUCCAACAGGUCUCCCAGAAACUCAAAAAGAUCAGAAGGAUGAGGAAAGAGAUGAGCCAACAGCCCCCAGG
rnacentral:lncRNA from 1 species